rnacentral:lncRNA from 1 species
GCGCUUAUCGUGAAACUAGGCCAGCCUAAUCUCAACAAUCAACUUGAUAAUAAUAAGUUUGAACACAUUUGUGGAUGUUUUUAAUAGUUAAAGAACUAUUUGAAACAUAAGAAAUUCCAAGAAUAUAUACAAUCCAACCUAAAACCGAGGUGUCACUGAGUGUAUGAGCGUCUAAGGUAGAUACAUAAUCUAUCAAAGUGUCUAAGAACAAAUAGAAAAAUACAUCUAGAAAUGAGAAGGAGAGCUAAGGCCUGCGAACGCCAUGCAUAUACCUCAACAACUCCACAGCAUGCGACCUCGAUCAAUGGCUGCUACUGGGACCAUAGAUUCCUGGAUCUACACACAAGGUGCAGGGGGUAACGUGAGUACACCAACUCAGUAAGUAACAAGCCAAAACUAUGGAUUGAGAAGUAGUGACGAACUCAACCUCAUCAAAAGAUAAAUAGGAAUAUCGUACAGGAGAGUAAGNNNNNNNNNNNNNNNNNNNNNNNNNNNNNNNNNNNNNNNNNNNNNNNNNNNNNNNNNNNNNNNNNNNNNNNNNNNNNNNNNNNNNNNNNNNNNNNNNNNNNNNNNNNNNNNNNNNNNNNNNNNNNNNNNNNNNNNNNNNNNNNNNNNNNNNNNNNNNNNNNNNNNNNNNNNNNNNNNNNNNNNNNNNNNNNNNNNNNNNNNNNNNNNNNNNNNNNNNNNNNNNNNNNNNNNNNNNNNNNNNNNNNNNNNNNNNNNNNNNNNNNNNNNNNNNNNNNNNNNNNNNNNNNNNNNNNNNNNNNNNNNNNNNNNNNNNNNNNNNNNNNNNNNNNNNNNNNNNNNNNNNNNNNNNNNNNNNNNNNNNNNNNNNNNNNNNNNNNNNNNNNNNNNNNNNNNNNNNNNNNNNNNNNNNNNNNNNNNNNNNNNNNNNNNNNNNNNNNNNNNNNNNNNNNNNNNNNNNNNNNNNNNNNNNNNNNNNNNNNNNNNNNNNNNNNNNNNNNNNNNNNNNNNNNNNNNNNNNNNNNNNNNNNNNNNNNNNNNNNNNNNNNNNNNNNNNNNNNNNNNNNNNNNNNNNNNNNNNNNNNNNNNNNNNNNNNNNNNNNNNNNNNNNNNNNNNNNNNNNNNNNNNNNNNNNNNNNNNNNNNNNNNNNNNNNNNNNNNNNNNNNNNNNNNNNNNNNNNNNNNNNNNNNNNNNNNNNNNNNNNNNNNNNNNNNNNNNNNNNNNNNNNNNNNNNNNNNNNNNNNNNNNNNNNNNNNNNNNNNNNNNNNNNNNNNNNNNNNNNNNNNNNNNNNNNNNNNNNNNNNNNNNNNNNNCUGGGGUUGUAAAGACUCCGGAGGGGUUUCCCUGAGCCCAAUUACUAUAUCAAUGCCAGCAAAGGCAUGAUCAAUAUCUUGCUGCAGCAUGCAGCCCGAUCCCAUAUUGUCAAUUAAUAUCAGGCUCUCGGCCUCACUCAGUUAAUACUCUCUAGUCUCCCACACACACGGGCUUAAAAUGUCAUGAUACUAGCCCGAACAAUGAUAUGAUAUGUCAAAUAGCAAUAAUUGAGACUGAGGCAUGAUAUAAUAUGCAUGGACAGGACUGGGUAUAAAUAUAAUUGAAGCUAAUGAAAUGACAGCAAGAAAUGACCUCUCGGGCCUCAACAGUAUUGGCGUGAAGCCUUAACAUAAUAAUUAGCAUGAUUUGCAGCUCAUUAACAUAACCACAUAAUUACAACAUAGAUAUCAGCAUAAAAGAGUCACUAAGCGGUGCCAUGGAAUGAUCCAGACCGCAUUCCUCACGGUGCACGCCCACAUGUCUGUCACUUGGCGUUUGCGUCACCUCAAUUGUAAUCAUAGAAUACAUAGUUCGGGGUUUCGAACCCUCAGAACCAAGUUUGGAAGUGUUACUUACCUCAAACUAAGCCAAACUCUAGCCCGUGAUGCCUUUUCCUAUCGAUUCAGCCUCCAAAUGCCCCGAAUCUAACAAAAAUCAGAACCAUAACAUCAAUAUAUGCUAAGGGCAUAAUGCUCGCGCAAAAAUAAUCAAAUUUCAUCACAAAUCCCAAAAUUGGUCAAAUCUGACCACCGGACCCACAUCUCAUAUUCCGAUAAAAUUCAUAAAACUAGAAUCCUUACACUCUCACGAGUUCAUACAUACCAAGAAUAUCAAAAUCCGACCACAAAUGACCCCUCAAAUUCCUAGAUUAAAGUCUCCAAUUUUCAAGCCCUAAACCCCUAAUUUUUGCUACUAAUUUUCAUAGAUUUCAAGCUUAAUCAAUCAAAAACCAUUAUAGAAAGAAGUUUUUGGUUCCAAGAAUCUUACCUCCAUGAAGUUCCCUUGAAUUCCCUCUUCAAAAUCGCCCACAAGCUCCAAUCUCGGAUAAAAAUGGUGAAGAACAAUUCAAAAAUUGCGAAGGGCUAAAUUUAUAUGUUCUUCCCCAGCUAAACUGCUUCUGCAAUUGAAUUCUUGCACUUGCGGUCCUAGGUGCACAUCUGCUGAAUUCACUUAACCGCCCAAGGACCGCACCUGCGAUCAAAAUCCCGCACCUGCGUUAUCGCAGGUGCGCUCAAACAUCCUCAUCUGCGGUUCCAGCUCCUCUCGCCCAUUUCCGCGUCUGCGGCUCCCCUUGCACUUCUGCGGGACCGCACCUGCAGUCCCCAAUCCGCAGGUGCGGUUAUGAUAGAAAACUCAGCAGCUGAAGCUGCUCAAACAAAUUUCCAAACUUCCCGUUAACCAUCUGAAAUCAUCCCAAGGCCCCUGGGACCUCAACUAAAAGUACGAACAAGUCACAUUACACUAUUUAAACUUAUACCAAUCUUUGGAACAUUCAAAAUAACAUCAAAACAUCAAAACACCAUCGAAUUCAAGCCUAAGAAUUCCAAACCUUCCAAAUUCUGCUCUCGAUCAAAUAGUCUAUCAACCCUCGUCCGAAUGACCUAAAUAUUUUGCACACACAUCCCAAAUGACACAACAGACCUAUUCAAAUUUUCAGAAUUCCAUUCCGACUCCUAUAUCAAAAUUUUCACUACCAACCGUAAACUCCAAAAUUCUAAUUUAGAAGUGAGGUGUGGAACUGCAAAGUUAAGGAGGUAUGAUUUCUCUCCUUUCUCUCUAGAAUUCAUGUGAAUAGUAUUUUUGUCACCAUUUUCAGGCCAUAAUUCCGGCAUCCGGUGGUGGAAUUAACCAAACUUGGUGUCAAAAGAUACAUAUUGUCUUUACGAUUAACAUCCAAUUGAUUUCACCUUCAGAUCUAUAGUCAUUCUUUAUAGAUCGUAAUUUUUUGUUGCUAGUUACUGUAGCAUAUAAUCGCUAUUGUAGCGAACUGGGCAGCUUCUUCAUUUCUGUCUUUUGCGCGAUGGUAUGCUGAAACAAUUACGUAAUAGAGCCCUUCCAUGGCAGCCAAUGUCUCUCCCCAGCCUUUGGUUGUGGGAGAGAAGAAUUCAAACUCUAAGGAAGUUAUUCCAAACAUUAACAACAUUAGUACAUAUGCAGCAAGUUUGAAUCAAAAGCAAUCUACCGUAUCUCUCACAAAAACGAGUUUGAAACCUUUUGCAAUUAUUCAUGGAGUUCCUACGAUUCAAUUUUCCAUGGAUGAAGGUGAAGAAUUUGUAAAGGAGGAAGGAUUACAUCAAGCAGUGAUGAUAAAGCUGUCCAGCAGCGCACCAAAUUUACAGAUUUUAAGGAGUAUUCUGCCGAAAAUCUUUGGUAUCAAAGGUAAUUGCUUGUUAGGUUCAUUGGCUCCAAGGCAAUUUUUAAUUCGUUGUGAUCAACAUGAAGAUUAUGUGGCUUGUUUGGCAAGAGCUGUAAACUACUUUCAACAUAAUGGAAGUGAGCAUCAAUAUAGAGUAUUCCCAUGGAGUGUUGGAUAUAAUCCAAACAAGGAAACCUCGAAGGUGGCUGUUUGGAUUUCGUUGCCGAAUUUGUCGCCUGAACUAUUUGCUCGUAAACCUUUACUAUCCAUUGCAGCUGCUGUUGGAAAACCAAUUGCAAUUGAUAAGGUGACACAAGUUAGAUCACAUCCUAGCACAACAAGAGUCAAGGUUAUCAUUGAUGUACUGGACAAACUUCCUGAAAAGAUUAGACUUCAAUAUCUUGAAGUUAAAACAGGUAAGAUUGUUGAGGAUUACCAGGAAAUUAUCUAUGAUAACUUACCUUCGUAUUGUUGCCAUUGUAAGCAUCAAGGACAUGAAGAAAAUUAAUGUCGACUCUUAAAAGGAAAGGCAGUUCAAGUUGCUCGUGUUUAUGACGAAACAGUUGAGAAUGAACAUCAAAUAGGUGGAAAAUUACAAGGUGAUGCAAGAGAUUUUUUGAAUGCUAAGAGAGCCAGGACACAACUUAUAGAAGGAUCAGGAAGUGAUAAGAAUGCAAGGCGGCAAGUGUGUGAUGUUUUGAGUAAAUGAGCUGAUGCUACAAGUGUUAGAGAUGCUUUGCAAGUACAAAAAACUGAUGCAACUGAUAAGUUUGGUCCUGCUGAUGCAGGGCAAAAUUCUGUUUCUGGGCAGCAGCAGUUUUUGAAGAUGUAACCUAGUGAAGUUAAAAUUAACAUGGCAAAUGUAGGACAUUAUCGUGAGGGGGUUCUGACUUCUGUUGCAAUUGAUCAAAAUUCUGUGACGCAAGCUAAAAUAGGUGUGGGUAAUGUGGAUUAUAUAGGAGCUCGAACAAAGUUAAAGGAGGCCUUAAAAAGGCCUGAUAUUGUAGGAACUGUUCCUACUGUUGCAUCAGAGGAAGAGGGUGUAGCAGGUUAUGGGCAGAAUGAUCUUAAGGUGCAGCAAAUUGAGAGAACUAAGAGUGGAGUAUCAUCUAAAAAUCCUAGAGAUACAAAGGGUGCAACUGGUGCAUCAGGGGUUGGAACUGAUGGAGCAACCAGUGCUAAGCAUGCAGCUAAUAUGCUAGUGUUUGAUCGAGGUUCAGCUAGUGUUUGUAAGGGUCCAAGUGUCGGGCAAAAAAAUUUAGCUGCUGUUGAACUAGCUGAUAAAUCAGCAAUAGCACUGUCAGAACUGGACAAAGCAGGAGCAGAAACAGUUGAUGCUACUGUGGUAGACCAAAUUUUGAGACUGCUCAAAUUACUGCUGCACUUAGUGCUAAACCUUCUCCUGCUGCUCAAGUUGAACCUACUGCACAAAUUGAGAAGGCAAAGGAGGAUCGAGUUCCAGCUAUUAAUGCAGAGCAGAACAUAACUACAGGUGUGGCAUCAGGUCAUGGAAUUGCUGAUGAGGUACUGCAGCUGGAGCAGGAACAAGUUGAGGAAACAAUUGUAGAUGUAAUGCAAUUGGAGUGUGCAGCUGUAGUGACUAAUCAACCUCAACUUUCAGCUGGAAUGAAGCAAACAACAACAGAGUUUCGGAAACCAGCUUCUACUCUGAAAACAACUGUGGAUCGAACAACUACUAAGGCUGAAAAAUCAAGGGGCAAAGGUACUGCACAGGUACCACACAGAAAAAGCCAAUCGGCAACAUCUGAAACUGUAGGUUUGGAGUGUGAAGUUACUGGUGUUGUAACAACAUCAGCAGCAGCUGUACCAACUAGUGAAAAAUAGGAUAUUGCAGUCAAUGCUCCAUUGCACACAACUGGGGAGUAUGUACACACAGAGGGGCAAGAUGUUAGUGGUGUCAAUGUUGAACAAGUUAUGCUUUUAGCUUAUAAAGCUACUGAUGGUAACAAGGAAGGACAGAGCAAACAAAAAACUGGCCAAGGCAGCGAGCUAAUGCAUAAACAAGAGCACAACUCCAAUACUCCAACAUUGCAUUUUUCCAGUCCGCAUGUGGAAAAAAUAAUUAAAGAUGCACAGGCCGCAAUGGUGCUGAAUACUACUAUGGCUAGACAACCAUUAGUCACCUUGAAUACUUUUGUGUUUGAGGUACCUUCACAGUCAAUAGAGUCGUUUGGUGAAUAUGGAGGCGAACCUGGACAGUUGCUAUUAUCAACAGCAAACACCAAUGAAAUUGCUCAAUCAGCUUCAAUAGAGAUGGUUAGAAAAUCCAAAAAAUGGGCUGCCAAAUAUAAUGAACAAUCUAAAGGAAUUGAAGAGGGGAAUAGGGGGAUUGAAAAUGAUCUUGCUGCAAUUUCUGUGCACGAACAUCAUGAAGCAACACCAACUCCAACCAAUGCACACCAUCUCAAUACAACAACCUCAACCUCAAAGACAACAACAAAGAAAAAAAAGAUGCAGCAGACAGCAAAACAUUUGCAUUGUGAGCAGUUUGAGGAGCAGAUCACAACAAGUCAAGCAUGCAUAAAGGAGAACGAAUUGCUGCAGUUUUCCAGCCCUUGCGUGGAAAAUAUUAUCGUGGAUCCCAUGAUCAAGCAACCUUUGGUCACUUUGUCAAAUUCAAUCACCUGCUCAAAUUUGAAAAGGGAACAGGAAAAUGGUCUUAAACUAAGGUUUCGAUUUGCCAGCCAUCGUGUGGAAAGAGUUAUCAAGGAUGAACUUCAAAUGCUAUAUUUUGAGAAUACUUUGACUAGAAAAUUAAAGAACAAGUUGGAGGCUCCAGAUUUCAUUCCAAGUAAGCCUCUUUGUCGCACAUGUAUUCACCACCUAGAUACACCACCAAACACUGUGGAGGACCACAUUUGAACAAGCAAAGCAAGUGCUAUCUGGAUGAAAAUUGCAACAAGGUCCGACAAGGAAGCAAUUGUUAGGCGACCUCCAAUGAGAGCGGCCAAACAAAAACAGGUUGCCUCAACUUCGUCGGCGAGGUCCAAACGGUCAAAAAAUAGACGAUGAUUCUUGAAUACUUUUUGAACAAGGUAGAUAAAAACGACAAAGAAGUAAAAAUUGAAGAUUUUACAAGGUUGGAAGAAAAGGGACAACAAUCAAAUGGGUACUACAUUUUAUUCUACCACUUUAUUAGUAUCCUCAUCUGUAAUAUCAUCACAGAGUAUGUUAUAAACUCUGUGAUGAUCAUAGAACAUUUGGUCCUUUCAAGUUCAUAUUUUUUACAUUCUUGUUAAUAGGCGAGGUUGACAAGCCUCAAUAGGAUUAGUACAGUAAGGUUAGCCCGGUUUGUGUUAUAUGGGUAAUAAUACCGGUGCUAUUGUCCCCCUUAUUUGUAUUUUUCCUAAUUGAUGUAUUUUUCUUUUCUGUUAUUAAUAAAAAACUAGUCCUAGGCACUUGCCUAGUGGAUUGCCAAAAAAAUAUUCUAAUUUCGCCAAAUCAAGCCAAAUUCUACCACGAACCAUCAAAAUACAUUCUAAACUUUCCCCUAAGUCCAAAAUCAACCGACAAAGCUAUUCGAACCAUAAAACCCAAGUUCCGAGUCCAUUUACUUACAAGUUAACUUUCGGUUGACUCUUCCAACUUUAUAAUCAACUUAAGAGACUAAGUGUCUCAUUUCUCUCUACCAUCAUUCCGAACUUGAUCCAAUCAACUCAACACAACAUAAAAGAGUUGAACCAUAUAAAAUGAAGCAAAAAUGGGGGAAACAGGGCUAAAACUCUCGGAACGACCGAUCGGGUCAUUACAUUCUCCCCCACUGAAACAUACGUUCGUCCUCCAAUGUGCCCAGAGUUAUUCCAAAAGCCAGCAAAUCAUUGUAUUACCUUACCAUGCACAUACUCAGGGGUGAUCCCACGUCACCAUAUCCCAUAUAGGUCUGAUAACACAACAUAACUGAAAUUUUACAAUCUAACUUUGCCUAUUACCCUUAGAACCAAAUUUCCACUUCCGAAAUUAUCUAUAAGAUUAGAAUAUCACAUCUACACACCGAAUAAGUCCAAACAAGUUGUAUCAACCAUAUCCAUACCCAAGAUGCAAUUACAUGAUAUACCACAUAACUCAGACACUUGUAACAAUAACUUCUAAUCAGAGCAAUUGCUCAAAACAACUGAAUACCGAUAGUAAGCCUCUUAUCAAUCAAAGCCUCAUUCCAACACUUUUGUACUUCUAACGAUGAAUGAAACAUGUAGAAAAUCAUAACCAUUCCUCAGCUCAACUAGUCGUGGAGCUCCCUCUCCUUCGGCAAGGACCAUAGUAAAUUUCUAAACCGAAUCCUGAUAUUAUCCUUCCAACAUGCUGAAAUCGAAUCUGAUAGUAUCCAUUCUAGAUCCCAAUGACCUCAUCUUAUCCAACACGACUACUCUAGUGACAUGACAAAUUGAUACGAUCUAAAUCCACAACUCGUGUGACCCGCGCACCAAUAAGCAACAGUCCGAAUGUAAAAUCAUGGAAAGAUGACUCAAAUGAGAGAGUCGUAACGCAAGCUCACCAGUACCACCCCAACGCAAUACUGAGAACCCACCACACAUCGUAGAACAAGAACACACAAAUUUAACCCAAAGGAUCAUACCACCACAUAACCUCGCUACAGUGCACGACCUUAUUCGAACAAUGGUCUACAAGAAACACCUCAAGUCACUAUGCUCAAAAUCAACAACCACGUGUAAUUUGCUGUCCAGAACAAAAAGCAAAUCAUCAUAACCACAACAAAGCAAAAUGACAAGACACCACACAAACCCAAAAGGACACAACAAAUAUGCGAUCCACCAAGCAAUACUCAAUACUCUUCCUGCUCGAAUUCCACUAUGAGACCCCAAUAGAACCACACCAUAUAUUCCUAUAACCAAUAAAUCAUAACGCCCCACAACACGGAAAUGUAACUCAUAGAUCUUCCCCAGAACACUAAUAAGCUCAAUAACAAUCGAAUCAACACAUGCCUCAACAAUAGUAACUCGGAGUCAACAAGGUCGACUCGAUGCAGAACGCACAUCCAUAUUGACCUACCAAUGAACCCCUUAUCAAGGAGUUCCUAAAGAUGCUCCUUCAACUUCUUUAACUUUGCUAGUGCCAUACGAUAUGGUGCCCGGCCACCAAAUCAAUACCAAAAUCAACAAUCAUGUCCGACAACAUGCCCGACAACAGGAAACACAUACAAAAAAAUCCCUUACCACCGGAACCAAAUCAAUGAUAGGAUUCUCUGCACUGACAUUCCUCACAAAGGCCAAAUAAUAAAGACAACCUUCCCAACCAUCACCUGGGUCUUCUAAAAUGAAAUCACUACAUUGGGAACAUAACCCGUCGAACCUCGCCACUCAAUCUGUGGCACCCCCGGCAUAGCCAACGUCGUCGUCUUAGCGUAAUAGUCUGGCAUAGCAUGACACGGAGACAACCAAUCCAUACCCAAUAUCAAAUCAAAAUUCACCAUACUAAGCAACAAAAGAUCCACUCGGGUCUCCAAACCCCGAUAGAUACCACAUAGGCCGAAAAACACGGUCUAUAACCACAAUAUAACCUGCUUAUGAGAACUCCCAAUCCCCUAAUCCAUAAAGCGUAUGAUCAUAAUAUCUGACCCCAACUCCACCGCUCGAGUAUGUACCACACCUCUAAUACUCAAUCAUUCCGCGAGGGAUACUCCUAUAACUCUUCUGUGCCACCAAGCAACUUGAAUAUCAGUAGUCUAACCAACAAGAGAGCGCCACAAUAUCAAUGAUGUACCCUUAACUCAAACACAUUGCCCUUUCUAAAAUGUUUACCCUCAUUAAGCCACACAAUUCAUAAUAUUAUUUGCCUAAUCAUUUGAAACUGCUCGUGCUGCCUAAGAAUUUAUGACCUUUCUUUCAUAACUGAAUUGUGACCUCUCACAUGCCCAUCUCAACCCUACACAACAUACCGCAUAUACCAUGUCUUCCUAUGACAAAUUGCGUACUCUACUAGCCAAGAACUUUCCAUUUGAUCUAAUCUAGAAGAAAAUUGCUAUACAUCAUAUGCCCCUCUAGCCAGUAGAAAUUAUACAUCUCUAACCAUGGUAGAAACCAUCAAGAAUUCCCCGAAUCCCAUUUGCACAAAACCAAACCAUCAGAACUGAAUCUUCCUAGCUUAACCAAGCCACGCAAGCCACCGAAAACCCAAGAGCAUUGCCACGAUACACCUGUAGAAACUUAUUACCUCAUAAGCACCCAAGACUCACCAUACGAGACUCAAGCAUGAAACCACACUAUCCUAAGGCUCAUAAGCCACUGACUACUCUCUAUAAUAACCCUAAAAGCACCACAUUCGAAAUUCUUACCCUGAAGAGACUUCCUGUGAAUCUAAAGCUAUUACCUUCACCUUCCUGAUACUAAUGUGUAGAAUCCAUAAUGAUAUAGAAAUACCACAAGUCUUGACACCCUCCAAUGUAAACUUCAGUUUCUGACCAAAUACCUUUCCUAAUGAUCUCCAAUUAUUACAUAUAAGUCUUGAAUCCAUUAAAACCACCCCCGGGAGUCAUCCACUCUACUUAGGUUUCAAUUUAACUGAUCAACCGAACCGAACGACCUGUGCCCACUAGAACAGCAACACCUAUGGAAGUAACCCCACUUUAAUGCAACCAAAUAAAUUCUUGUUCUAUGCACCAUACAUCCCUCACCAUUAACAACUCAAGUCACUCUGUGAUUCUCAUUCGCCCGUAAAGCAUGACCUAACCUUUAUUAAAAUUUCCUUUACUCGAGCCAUCCUCGAUCUCAAUCCCUGCAAGCCAUAACUGAUUCACUAAUAUACCUCAAACUUAAACCAAUACAACACAUAAUCGUGCAAUCAACUAAUCAAUAGCGGACUCCCCACUUGACUCAAAGCCAUAGGUCAAAACACAAAGAACUAGCAAUGCCCAUACUCUACUACUGCCAUUAUACCGUGCUGAGAUUAAACUAAAUCCUUCAUAAGCUCGUGCAACACAAACCAUCUAGUACUUCAAAUCAUCUACAAAUCUUAUAUUCAUCCUCAUAACAGACAAUCACACUCUUUUAAGCGAUCCAAAUUGAAAUUGCAAUACAUAUAUUUCGCUAGUAAUAGAGAUCUCGCUACAAAACACCAUAUGGAUCACACAACUUCAGGACACUUCGCAGGAAAUAACCCACCUACUUCGCCUCAAACUAACAUCUAUUUAUACCCUUCCACUGUCAUGAACAUCAUGCAAUCACAUGAUUUUCCUGAGUUUAACCUCAUAUCAUAACAUGAAAUCUAUUUCACUCCCCGACUAGACAACAUGAGAUAAUCCUUCAACACACCCAUAACUCGGGGCUAUACAUCAAAUCACAAUAGAAAUCAAACACCAAAUUGUUCUUUCUACCCUCAAGAAGACCCUUCUCGUCACAGUCAAAUCAUAUGAACACAUCUCACAGUCACAUCAUACUCAUCACAUAUCCAUCCAGUCAUCACUUCCACUAAUAGGGACAAUAUCGAACAUAUGAAUCCAGAAGCAUGUGUACACAUAAUCAACACCUCAACGCUCAAACUAUAGGAAAACUCUGGCCUCAAGUCCUCCAAACUGGCCCCAACAUCAACACACAGAAAUCAUAACUCGCCCUUCGAUCAGGGGAUUACAAGCCGUUGAUGCACAGCUGAUACCGAGCUCUCAUGCAUUCACAUGAAGGCAUGGAAGGAAUUCAAAGAGUUAAGCUGAAUCAAUGACACAUGAUAGGAAUUCAAGAAAGUGAAGUUUAUUUCCUAAAGGUUCUAUACCCUCUCGAAGAUAAGUACAGACAUCUUUGUACUAAUAUGUGAGACUCUACUAAACCCGCUCAUGACUCGUGAGACCUAUGUAAUCUAGGCUCUGAUACCAACUUGUCACGACCCAAAACUUGACCCGUCGUGAUGGCGCCUAUCGUGAAUCUAGGCUAGCCUCAACUCAACAAUCAACCCGAUAAUAAUAAGUUUGAAAACAUUUAUGGAAGCUUUUAAUAGUAAAAGAACUAUUUGAAACAUAAGAAAUUCUAAGAAUAUAUACAAUCCAGCCCAAAUCCGGGAUGUCACUGAGUACAUGAACGUCUUAGGGUUUCGGAAUUUCUUUUAAAACGUUGUUUGAUGAUUCUUUGUGUUUAAACUUCUGAUUCUCACACAUUUUGGCUAAUUUUAUGAACCUGCUAUAACCCUAGUCCAUUUGUACUGAAAACCCUAACGUUUUGGGGUUUUUCGUUUGGUUUCUGAUAUGGGUACUUCUAACUGUGUUCUUGCCUUAGUUUCUUGUGACUUCUCAUGAUUUACCUGUCCUAGUAUGCUUCUAUUGAAUCUUCUUAGUUCAAACUUUCACUGAUAUUAUGAACUUGUCUUUGUACUCGCCAUUCAUGCAAAACUUGUAUGCUUCUCUUUGAAUCAGUGCCGUUUAACCAUGGGUUUUGUCAAGGCUGUGUUAAAUAAUGACUGUUCAUGCCUUACCUCAUUUUAUAUGCUAAGCAUGUUGCUUCUUUCAUGAUUUUAUGAACCCUUGAUUACUCUGAAUCCCUUAUUUUUUGGUUUAAUUUGACUAAUUUCCUUUAAACAUUUGAUUCUUGCUUCUUUACUCAAUUUGAUUGAUUUGCUUGACAUAAUUAAUUUUCCCUUACCUUGUCUGCAUUAUUACUUAAUUCUUACUGAUUAUUUCCCUAAUUAGAACUUUAUGUACCUAGCCCUAAUUACAUGUUAUGUACUUGCACUAUUUGAAGUCUUUUCUUAUUUGUUAUACUCCAGCUAUGUAUGAUUUCUUUCCUUACAUGUCACAUGCUCUUUACCGUUUGAACUAAUUCCCUUAAUUAAGGGGAGACUUGUACUAAUUUUACUUUAAUUGAUUCCGGAUUCUCCAAUCACUCAACAAUUUGAUUCUUACCUUAUUUACCUAGCUUUCAAACUACUAUUUAUAUGCUUUCUUCUACUCUCAUUAUAUAGAACAUGGAGUUCAAAAAAAGCACAUUUACACGUUAAAAGUUCUCUUUCUCUUCUGCUAUUUGUGAUACUUGCUGAUCUAGCUGGCUGAAAGCCAAGGCUAGACAUUGGAACUUUGUUUGCUUCAUAUCCUGCACCUUUCUUCAACUGGUAUGCUUCUAAUUAAGUUUUGAGAUUCAAACCCUAUGUGUUUUCAUUCUUGCACUAGUUCAUCAGUUAUGAGUUCAAUUUCUUGCCUACUUCUUUACUCGACAUGUCUAAAAUCUGCCUGUUCAAUGUAUCUUUACAUUCUUCACUCUUUCUUGCUUACUUUCUUGCCUAGCAUGUCUAAACUUUUGUGCACUCUGUCCUAUUUAUUUCUUUGCCUAGCAUGACUAAUCUGUUAAAGUCCCAAUGUCCUAAGUGAUGUAUGCAAUUUGUGAGUAUAUGUUUCAUUUAUCCCUAUCUAUGUACCCUAAUGUGAUUCUUGUGUGCCACCAUUCUCAUAUGAGAUCUGUUUGUUAAGUGUUCUUUUCUUAAGUCUGAAUGUCUCUUAUGACCAACCAAUUGUUUGUUGUUUUGGUACUCUUCUCAAACUGUCUUUUACUACUAAGUUGUUCCUGUUUUUGAAAAAACCUUUAUACUUCUGAAGCCAUCCUUGUACUAUUUUUAAAACAAAUUAUGUCAAGCACUCUCCACCACUUCUAGAAUAUUUAGGUCCUGCCCCUCUGGCAUGUGUAAUACCUUGAGAUCCAUGAGAUUUCUCUGAACUCUGGCAUGUCAGAGCUAGCAUAUCCAUACUGCACUUGAAUCAGUUAUUGUUUGAGUAAAAGUCUAGGAUUGAGCACUGCCCGAGAUCUUUGAGAUCCUUAGGGAACUCUGAUGCACCUAUACAAUGAUAUUGUCUAUGGAACUGUGGCAUUUGAGGCUAUUGGAGGCUUGGGGAAGUCAUUGGUCCUGCUUCAGGCUCCCUAUAGUUAACUUCUUCUUUUCUUUAUUGUUUAUGUAAUUUAUUCAACUAGUCUGUAAUAAUUAUUUGUAAACAACUUUGGGGUGAUUCGUGAAAAAGGGUGGGUAGCUACAUCUUUUGGGAAAUUUGUGUAGAGACCAUGCCUAUACUAUUGUAUUAGUGCACUUGAUAUGUUUACUUUCACAACAUUAGAGAUCAUGUCUAUAGGAUUUAAAUAGAUUCAAUAAUAGAGACCAUGUCUAUAGGUUUAAAAUCAACUUCAUAAUUAAAUAUCAUGCCUAUAGAGUGUAAAGUGAUUGAGUUCAAUUCUUCUACUGCAUGUAUUUACAUUUGUCUCACUAAAAUCAUGCCUAUAAGUUCCAACAUCAGCUCUUAAUAAUUAGAUACCAUGCCUAUAGGAAUAAAAAUAAAAAAUCCUGCCUAUAGAGCCUAAAAUCAAUUUAGUUAAACAAAUCGGUCUAAUUCAUGUUAGUUCCUUUUGAAUUGGCUUAAACCAACUGUCUAUUUCUUUGAACGAAUUUUCGAACACUACCUUAAUCUACUAUCACUAGAAAGCAUGCCUAUAGGAUCUCAAAUAUCCGUUUUAAAACUGUUUGCUAUUUUACUGCAUCAAUAUAGAUACCAUGCUCUUACGACACUAUUGUUCUGUGUUUAGGCAAGCCUAUAGGACGAUUUCAAAUUCUGCAACUCUGAAACUGUGUUUUGCUACUUAAUACUGUCCAGAUUCAAUAGAGUUAAAUUAGCAGGCGAUUUAAAUAGGAUUCUCACACAUUGUCCUUAUUCAACACUGUAUAACCCCUGCUCACCUAGAUAUCAUGUUCUAGGAUUUUCUCUUAAGUACUUGAAUGUUGUUUAAAGACGUACACUUACUUGUUAUGUUUGAGGAGGUAACUAUGAGCCUAUAACUUGUUUCUUUAAAUGCAGCCCUAACUAUUCUUGAUUGACGCCUAGAUUUUUAUCCUUUUAAAACCUUAGGAAAGUCUAGAACUGUCCAAAGAAUAGGGGUCCUAAAAUACCUCCAGGGCCACAAGGAAGGGACGGGUAGUGCACGCAUAGGACAUUGUCAAGGUUGCUAGAACGUUUUAGGCUAUGACCAACGGGAGGGACUUGGGUAGAAAGGGAUAUGAUGACUAUGCGCUAAUAUCACAUGUAUCCUCUCAUUGAGAAGUGUUUACCGGACAUUGCGUGGGGUGAUCUUGUAGGCUAACCAACCAAAGACCCCUCCUUCCCAAAUUCCCUUCGCUUAAACUUUACUUUUCUAUAUGAACACAGUUUGUUCAAGUCUUUCCUUUGUCUCAUUAUCUGAGUCAUGUAAUGUCCAAAAACCCGCUCGUAUUUGUAAUUAUGUGUUUAAAUUAUUUAUUUGUUAAAGGACUAGUUCAUCAGUAUAAGUUCUGCCGGAACCUACCGUUGUGGACUAAGAGGGGUGCCUAACACCUUCCCCUCCAGGUUAUUUUGAGCCUUUACCCUAAAUCUCUGGUAAUGCAAACCAAUCCAAGAGUUAUCGCUCUGGGUGCCCUAACACACCAUAAUCUAUUAGGUGGAAACUCUUCAAAACCCAAAUUCCCAAAAGAAAAUUAGUUAUUACCCUCAUGAAUGUCAGAACCUAGACUUUCUCUGCAAAAGGAAAAAAAGGGGGGCCCAACACGGUUAACUAUGCAAGCCAGACCAUGAAUGAUGCCCAAGUCAACUCCACAGUGACCAAAAAAGAACUCCUUGCUAUUGUCUUUGCGAUGGAGACACUCCACCUGUACUUGAUGGUUACAAAGGUGAUUGUUCAUACCGACCAUGCGGCGCUUCGGUAUUUGAUGAGCAAGAAAGAUUCUAAGGCAAGAGUUGAUGUGGUGGGUGCUUCUAUUGCAAGAGUUUGAUCUAGAGAUUCAAGACCGCAAGGGUAGUGAAAAUAAAGUAGCGGACACUUGUCCUGAUUGCAGGAGGAGGGGAGGCCAUAUAACAGCCUUAAGAUCAAUGAUUUAUUUCCCCACGAGGAACUCCUAGUCAUUUCAAUGACCGGGAUGCCAUGGUUCGCCGACUUAGCAAACUAUUUUGUGAUUGGAAUUGUACCGAAUGAGUUCUCUUCAAAUCAAAGGAAGAAGCUCAAAUGGGAUUGCCUUGACUAUUAUUGGGAUGAGCUAUACAUCUUCCGGUUUUGUACCGAUAGUGUGAUCCGACGAUGUUUACCGGAUGAGGAACAAGUGGGUAUUCUUGAGGCUUUCCACUCUUUACCGUAUGGUGGUCAUCAUCGUGGAGUAAGAACGGAGGCAAAAGUUUUGAGUUGUGGAUUAUAUUGGCCUACUCUGUACAAGGAUGCUAGUGAGCUUGUCAAGUGUUAUGAUGAAUGCCAAAGGGCCGGUGGGAUCUCAAAGAAGAAUGAAAUGCCUCUCACCACUAUUUUGGAAAUAGAUAUUUUUGAUGUGUGGGGUAUUGAUUUCAUGGGUCUUUUUGUUAGCUCUUGUGGGAACACCUACAUUCUAGUCAUGGUUAAUUAUGUGUCUAAGUGGGUCGAGGUCGUUGAUUUUCCCAAAAAUGAGGCGAGGAGUGUGGUGGCAUUCUUGAAGAAGAGCAUUUUUACAAGAUUCGGUACUCCAAGGGCCAUUAUUAGUGAUAGGGGUUCAUAUUUUUGCAACAAGGCUUUUGAUACCUUACUCACAAAGUAUGGUUCCACUCCAAAGUAUCGACCCCCUACCAUCCUCAAGCAAACGGACAAGUUGAAGUCUCCAACCGGGAGAUCAAGAGUAUUUUGUCAAAGAUAGUGAAUGCCAAUAGGACAGAUUGGUCAAGAAAACUUGAUGAUGAUCUUUGGGCUUAUAGAACGGCCUACAAAACACCAAUCGGGAUGUCUGCAUACCGGUUAGUGUUCAGGAAGGCAUGCCAUCUUCCGGUGGAACUUGAGCAUAAGGCCAUGUGGGCUUUGAAGAAGUUUAACCUUCAGUGGGAUGUCACCCCAAACCUAAGGGUAUCACAAUUGAAUGAGCUGGAUGAAUUUCUCUAUCAUGCCUACACAAGCUCGUCCUUUUACAAGGAGAAGAUGAAGUACCUCCAUGACAAGUGCAUCCACAACAAGGAGCUUAAAGUGGGUGAUGUUGUACUAUUGUUCAAUUCUCGGUUACGGAUGUUUUCGGGCAAGUUGAAGUCAAAAUGGAGUGGGCCAUUUGAUGUGGUGAAUGUAACUCCCAUUAGUGCUCUAGAUUUGAAAAAUAAGAAUGAUGAGGUGUUUAGAGUCAAUGGGCACCGGGUUAAACAUUAUCUUGGCAAGGUUGAUGAUGGCCACAUUGUGGAGGUUCUUCAUUUCAAAUGAUUGGUAAUCUGCGUCGUGUCGCGACGUUAAAUCAGGUGCUUCUUGGGAGGCAACCCAUGUGUCUUUUUCUUUUUCUUGUUCUUCUUCAUUAGAUAGACUUUGUUUUGAGCUAACUAGUUUUGAAGUGUAUGCAGGAAUGGGUGUGCAUUGCAGGGACUGUGCAAGAAAAAUUGACUAAUGGUCACAAAAGUGUGGACCCCACCAUAAUUAUGCGGACGGUAGAAUCACUCUACGACCGGACAAGUUUGUGUGUAGUCCCACAACUGAAAGACCAAAAGUGUAUGCUCUCUGAAGAUUGGCCUGUCAAAUUUUAUUAAUAAUUUGUGGCCGAACACAAAAUUGUAAGGUCCGCACAAAUUAUGCAGUCACACUCACUUUUAUGCGAACCACAGAGAUUCUUCAAAGGUUCAGGUAAAGAGUGCGGACCGCACUCAAAAUUGUGUGGGCACACUCAACUUCAUUUUUUACUGUUCGAGUUAACCUAUAAAUAGGGCUUUUCUCCACUUUACACUCUCUGAACUCUCAAGCCCUGGAAAUACUAUGCAUCCUCAUUUGUUCUAAAUCUUACCUCAUUUCAUCAAGUUAGAUCCUCCCCUGCAUCAUUCACUACUGGUAUGUUCAAUCCAUGUUAGAUAUUUGUUCAUUUUUCUUUAUUUGUUUUUGUUUUUUGAUUAAUUUAGUUAUUUUUAGGCCUAAAAAUGUCAAAUGUGCUUAAUAUGUGCUUCAAAAUCAUGUGGGUAGCUUACUAUAUGUUCAUUAAGGACUGGGUAGACCACUAAUCUUGUCAAUUUGUGUAAAACCUUGUCUAAUUUGUUAAAAAUUUGCAUGAAAUGUAAAUCAGUGCCGCGUAAUUUUAAAUUGUGCGGCCACACACAUUUUUGUGCGGUCCGCAAAUCUUAGAGUUAGGGUAAAAUUGGUGCUUGAAAUGUGCGGACCGCACUCACAAUUAUGCAGUCCGCAGUGAAAUUAUGCGGUCCGUAGCAAAAUUGUGCGGUCCACACUGUUGAAUGAUCAGAGAACCUAGCUGUCUGAACCUGGGGUUGUGCGGCUGCACUCAAUAUUUUGCGGUCCGCACUUUUGUUUAUGUGGCCCCACUGGCCAAUCUAUGGUUGUUUCCUGCAAUUGUCAUACAUGCAUUUGUGACCUCCAAUUUUAACUGAUUCCUUUCAUUAUGUAUUGCAGACAAUUGUUAGAUCACGUGGUAGAGUGAUACAUUAAAAGGGAGGGCAGAACCCUCCCGAAGCCGAGGUCGAGGAAAAAGUAACAUACCACUAGCAAUCCAGAGAGCCAUAAGCAAGAAAGCAACCACCAACAGAGUUCCUGAACCCUCUGAGUCCAGUGAGUGUCUCCGUCUAGGGAAGCUUCUGAGGGUGACUCUAUGCAAGCACUGCCUAAUACACAACCUCAACCCGAACAAGCCCCGAGUAGAUUACACUUGAGAGAUGAAUCCUUCUCUACUGCUAGUUCUUCUAAGGGUUUGGAAAAGGGUAGCCAAGAUUCUGAGCCUCUUCUUAAGUAGUAAACGACGACAUGGGCUACUAUAUUAUUCUUGGCAGACCAUGGCUACAUGAGAGAAAGGUUGUGACAUAAACAUACCAUCAACUUCUGAAAUUCCCAACUCUAGAGGGAAUCGAACAGAUAAGAGGACAUCAACCCACAACAAGGGAGAUAAAUUCGAUCUUGGUUUGCAGCAGUAAAGGGAAGGAACAAUUGGCAUAUCAAUUACAGGAAGCAAUGCCCUCUCGCGAAUCAUACGACAAAGGGGAGGAGACGUCGAAAUCCUAUCAGGUACUAAGGUAUUUCUAGGUACCGAAAGAAACAGAUGCAACCAAAUCCAUGAUGGAAGAACUCGAAUAGGUGGCAUUGUUCAAAAAGUUCCUAGAAAGGAAGUUCCACUUGGGGACAAUUGAACCCCGAGCUCAUGUCAGGAUUUAUUGAAUUUCUUAAAAAUAAUGUUGAUUGUUUUGCAUGGUCGCACGCGGAUACGACAGGUAUAGAGCUAAAGGUGGCCAUGCAAAAGUUAAUCCUGGAUCACAGCAUCCCUCUAAUAAGGCAAAAGAAGCGCCCAAUCGUCGAGGUCAGAAAUAGGUUUGUCAAAUAGGAGGUAACUCGAUUACUUGAUAUCGGUUUAAUCCAUGAGGGAAAGUAUCCCGACUGACUAGCUAACAUAGUGGUAGUUCCAAAAAAGAAUAGUAAAUUUUGCAUGUAACAUAGAUUAUAAGGAUCUGAAUAAGGCGUGCCUAAAAGACUUGUUCCCGUUGUCAAACAUUGAUCAAAUGAUUGAUGUAACGGCCGGGCACGAGUGCCUACGUGAAAACUUUGGUACAUUUGGGUUAGGAUUCAUGUCCAUGGAGAAGGAUAAAAAAGGACCAAAAUACAGGUUUAGGAGAUGUGGUCACUUCCCAAUCAUGUCCCACACAUCUCCAAGUCAUUUACCAAGCCAGGGGUUGCAAAACUUCCAAUAUCAUCAGUCCCGAAAUCAGCAAUUGACUUUGAUGAAGAGUUGAUCAGAAUGCCCCAAAAUCUAUUUGAUGAGGUCGAUAUUGUUGAAAUUGAGGAAGAUUCUAGCAAUGAAGAUGUGCAGUUUUUGGGCCGAAUGUGGAGCUUAGCAACUGGGAAGAUACUCCUCUCCCCACCCGAGAGGAGUUUUGGUAGUUUGCUUUAUUUUUCUUUCUGUUAUCUAUAUUAUUCAAGGGUUGUAACCUAGAUUUCACUUCUGCUUGUUUUGAUGGUCGAACCCUUUCUAUCCUUCUAUUUUCAGCGAAACGCAAUUUUUCUUCUUUUAUUGUUGAUAUUCCUAAUAAUUGUUUAAAUUUGUUGGUUCUAAUGACAUAAAAUGCAUAAGGAAUUUUUAGCCAGAUCUUAAAAGCUAGUCUAACUUUGAAAUAAUGAUCCAAGAAGUCGAAUGUGAUGAAGAGGCAGCAUUUGAGAGAAAAGAGGUUGAGAUCUCGUCCCUCCGAAUUGUUAUAGAAGUUGAAAUUGGUAGCGAUGAGUGGGUGGGAAAAGAUUGGAAGCAAAAUGUCAUGAUCAAUUUUAUCAAGAGAAAAUGGCUAGAGGGUACAACAAAAGGUGCAUCCCAGGAAGUUGAACCGGGCUAACUAGUAUUGAAGCGCACCCGUCCACAUCAAGCUGAAGCUAAAACCAAGUUCCCCUCCAACUGGCAAGGCCAGCCCUUUGUGGAAUAUAUAUUGCCCAAUGAUGCUCAAUACUUUAUAGACACAGAGGGCAAAGUUACGGAUAUGGCCAUUGAUGUUGAUGUCGUUAAGAGAUACUAUGUAUGACCUCUUUGCCUUAUCUUCAAUUACAUGUCUUGUACUCGACAUUUUCAAAGUUUGGUAUGACGAAGGUGUUUUAUUCAGCUACCCAAAAACUUUUAUCCUUUGCUAUCUCUUUUGAGACUUAAUUUAAUUUCUUUUAUACCCCUCUUUUGGAAUAAGGAAAUAGAGUUAGAAAACAGAAAAAAAUAAAAAGAAAAACAAAUGAAGAAAAAAAAGAAUAAAGGAAGAUAAAAAAGAAGAAAAAGAAAAGAAAGAAAAAAAAGCAACAAAUUUUAGUUUGGAACUGCGCUUGACCUGAUUCCUUUAAAGGAUACAUAGGCAACCUUACUCUAAGGUUCGGUCCCAUCAAAAUAAAAAUCUGAAAUUCCCAAAACUCAAAGAAACUGAGGCAGAAGUUUUAGUUUUGCAAAAGAUCUGAUUCUAAAAGUUGUAAUUUUGAACCCUUCCAUCGUGAGUUGUUUUGAGACUUCAUGCCACCUUUUCCUUCUAACCCUGUCCAAAAGCCUACACUAUAGUCCAAAGAAAGACCUUUCGACCAAUCUUUGAGGAUGCCAAGUCAAGCGAUAUAGAGAUGUGAUUUACAUCAUGGGUAAUACUUUGUUCAUGGACACAAAAGAAUUUUUUUUAAAAUGAAUAAAAUGAGGGAGUCAUUGGUGAUAACCGUCACGGACACCAUAAGGCGAUGGUGAGCUGAGAGAAAAUUUAUAAUGAGAGAGUCUUAUUGGUGAGGACCCUCAUGGGCACUGUAAGGCGACAGUGAGUUGAGAGAUAAAUAAAUGAGAGAGGCUUGUCGGUGAAAAUCCUUCGGACACUACAAGUCGAACGAGGUUCAUGACUUUACAAAGAGAUUGGAUCAUUGAAAGCCCAGUUUUGAAGUAUGAAGACAUGACAUGAACUGAAUAUGUGAUUGGUUGGACGAAUUAGGUUGAUCAAUCUGAAAUGCAUGUCAUGAUCAUUGGAGUCAACUGUUUCACUCAGAUAAGUCUCUUUUCCAUUCUUCAUCAAAUAAUCAUCUUUGUUCGAAAUUUUCCUUUUAUUUCCUAAUUCUUAAAGUCAUUUCGCUUUGUUUCUUUUGGGUCUAUUUCUCUGAGUCUCUUUCAAAUUAGUGUUUGUUAAACAUGCAAGAAAGGACUUCAAAGUCUGCUAUCGGCUUCUUGAUUGCACAAAGCAAAGUUCGGCAAAGCACAUCACAAAUGACAUGAUUCGGAAGGAGCAAUGUGGUGAUAGAUGAAGUUCAGGGGGAUUAUGUGAUUCUUGAAUUUUUUAGGAAGUGCAAAGGUUCAAUAGUUGCCAGAAUAAAAAUGCAACACAACAAGUGAGUGUAAAGGAUUCGGGUCAUUUAGAGGUUUUUGUUGUCAAGGUUCGAUCAAGAGGUCAAAUAAUUCAUUGUUAGCCCGAAGCAGCUAAUCAAAAUAAAACAUGGCAAUGGUAGAAGCGGACACCUUCAGCAACAAUGCCACAAACUAAUCACCACAUUUUCAAACUCACAAAAUUUCCUUUGAUUGAAAUAAGGGCAGGAAAAUUUGGUAAUUCGUGUGGAUCCUCCAUGAGGAAAGCAUGGUUCAAGGGCAAGAAAUCUUUGUUCACUCUGCAGGGAUCCACCAUAAGAGAAGCAUAGUUCAGGUAAGUUCGUUGUCGACUUUUCAGGACCCUCCUAGAUAAUGGGAUUUAGUUUUAAGUUUUUAGGACCUUCCUAGAUAAUGAGAUUUAGUUUUAUGCUUUUACCUUUAGAAAGUGAAAUUCUGCUUUUAAGUUUUCACUCUUAAAAAUGAGAUUUAAUUUUAGUCUUCACGACCCUCAUGGAUAAUGAAAUUUAGCUUUUAAAUUCUUAGAAAUCUUUUAGAUAACUGGAUUCAACUAACACUCACAAACGUUCCUAGUAUAAACUGAGGCAGGACAUUUUCUUUGUUUUGUUAUGUUUAUAGGCACCCACCUAGGGAACGAGGGUAUUUAUUUCAAGAGUUUUAGAUUCAGUUUUAGUAGCAGGCGCCCACUUGGAGAAUGAUGGAAUUAAUUUCAAGCUUCACGUUUGUAGCAAGCGCCCACCUGGAGAAUGAGGGAAUUCAUUUUAAGUUUCAAGUCAGUAGCAGGAACCCACCUAGAGAACGAGGGUAUUUGUUUCAAGAGUUUUAAGAUUCAGUUUUAGUAGCAGGCGCCCACCUGAAGAAUGAGGGAAUUCAUUUCAAGUUUCAAGUCAGUAUCAGGAGCCCACCUGGAGAAUGAGGGUAUUUAUUUCAAGAGCUUCAAGAUUCAGUUUUAGUAGCAGGCGCCCACCUGAAGAAUUAGGGAAUUCAUUUCAAGUUUCAUGUUAAUAGUAGGCACCCACCUGGAGAAUGAGGGAAUACAUUUCAAGUUUCAUGUUAGUAACAGGCACCUACCUGGAGAACGAGGGUUAUUCUUUCAAAGAUGAAUUCAAGUUCGGAUAAGAACGUCAGUCGCCCACCUGGAGAAUGAGGGUAUUUACUUCAGAAAUUGAUUUCAAACUCAAGUCUACUUUAAGUUCAAGUUCAAGUUCAUUUCAAAUCCAAACAUCAGGAGCCCCUGAAGAAUAGGGUCAACUUUCAAGCUUCAAUUCAAGCUCGAAGCAGCGGAAACUUGACUUGAGAAUGCAUCUCGACAAUUCAAGAUGCAUAACAAGAUCGAAAAAGAUUCAAGAUAGAACAGUAGAUAGGAUUUUGUCAUUUUUCUUGUAAUUUUUAUUUGAUUUUUCAUUUUUGAUGUAAUGACAGGAACCGCGAACCGAAACCUCGACGGCAUUUCACUCGACUCUCCACCUCGGUAUCCUUCUCCAUUUUCCUUAUCUCUGAACUAUACGUGGCCUGAUUCCUUUAUAGCCAAGGAUAUGUAGGCAGCUCAGAUACCAGGGCUCGGUCACAAUAUUUUGCCCCUCUUAGUUUUGUUUUGAAUAAAUGUCGGGUCAGAAAUCAAUUACGUUGCUUACUUGAUUCUUUUCUCAAAAACACUUCAUGUUUCCAAGCAAAGAGAGGCAGUUGUAAGCAUGUAAUUUUGACUCGCCACGUCUUCAAGCUAUAUUAGUAUUCUUAGCAUUUUCAAACAUUUAUUUGAGUUAUUUUAAUAGGAUUUAGCCUAUUCUUCACUUUUAUUUUUAUUAUAAAACAUAAAAUUGAAAACACAAAAAAAGUUUUAUUUUAUUUUACUAUUUUUCUCAUUUAUUUAAGGUCGUUAGUAUUUUAGUAGUAAUAUUAUUACUUUGCGAUGGUUCUAGCCUAAAUUUCUCUACUUUUAUUUCAAUAUAAUCUCCAGAUAAUACCAAAAAUAAUUUCAUCUUUUAAUAUAGUUUAGUUUAAUUAAUUAGAAUUGGUUUUUGCAUUGUGUAGUAUUUUUAUCUUAUAUUAAAGGGAGUUAACUAAGAUUUUGGACUACAAUUUUAAGAGUCUUGGAGCCCAAUUUUAGGACCCAAUUUGGCAUAAUCCAGAGCUUAUUCCCCUUAGCCUACACAACCCCAUCAAAUUUUAUAACCCUAAAACACUAAUUUCAUAAGAAGACAUUUGACCUAGAUAGGAGGAAAGAAGGUCAGCCACCACCGCCACACAACCCUAUCUUAGCUGCCACAGCCGCCGAAUAAUUCUACAGUGCCCAGCGGCCAACCUCUCCUUCCUUACCUCUCAGCCGCCCAACCAAACAAGAAAGAGAACAACCAGCAACUACCGCCAAGCACCACCCCCGCCACCAGAACUCGCUGGAAUCUAGCGAAAAAUAAAGAAAUCAACCGCCUCAUCCUACCACCUUCACCAAAUCAAAAAUAAAAGGACAUCACAGAAUGACCAACAGGAGCUAACUCGCCACCGCCUCACCACGGUCGUCUCCUUCUCUUCACCUGCUAUCGCCACCGCCAGCAGCUCCACUAAAGCUCACCGAAGGUCCGAAAAUCGGAUGUUCCCCACCUUUAGCUAAGCUCUCAUCACUCCUUCUUGAUUUUAUUUGGAAAAAGGCAGCAACACUCAUAGCCCCCUUAUUUUCUUCAUCAUUUUCCAUCUCCGUUCUUAACUUUCUUCUAAAAAUUUAUAGAACAUAUUGACAAAACCAAAACAUAAAUAAGAACAAAAUAUACCUACCGGAAAAUUGUCUUUUCCUUCCUUCUCUUGUUUACUGCUUAAUUCCAUAAGAGCAAAGAGGAGAGUUCUCAAUCCACAGCUGUAGCUGGCUCCAUUUUAAUUUACAUAGUGAACGGUUCAAAUCAGUAGUCUCCUGGAUUUCACGUUUCUUCGCUCGCAUAGGCAAAAUUGAGUCUGUUUUCGGUGCAGAUUCGAGAUUCUGUCUGGGUUUGUAUUUGAGAGUCAUGUCGAUUUGAGUUUCAAUCGUAACUGUGUUUGGUUCCCGUCCGUGUAAUUGUUAGAUGUCUUUAUCAAUUGAAAAUUACAGUCUUUAGGUUCAACUCUUUUUCUCUUACUUUUAUUUAAUGGUGUUGAUUUCUUGUUUAGAAUAUUUAGAUACUAGUAAUGAAUUUUGAAGUUGGUUUCCAAUCUUGAAUAUUCUGUACUGUUUAAUUUCCU